rfam:Triticum aestivum genome assembly, contig: Triticum_aestivum_CS42_TGACv1_scaffold_404325_5BL
UUUAGACUCCCUUUGUUCGAAAUUACUUGUCGAAGAAAUGGAUGUAUCUAGUCGUAUUUUAGUUCUAUAUACAUCUACUUUUAUUCAUUUUUGCAACAUGUAAUUCCAAACGGAGGGAGUAUAUA